ACGGGGGCCCGCACAAGCGGAGGAGCAUGUGGUUUAAUUCGAUGAUACGCGAGGAACCUUACCUGGGCUCGAACGUAAGAUGACUGUAGGUGAAAGCUUACAUCUCUUCGGAGCAUUUUACGAGGUGCUGCAUGGUUGUCGUCAGCUCGUGCCGUGAGGUGUCGGGUUAAGUCCCAUAACGAGCGCAACCCUACCUUUAGUUGCCAUCAGGUAAUGCUGGGGACUCUAAAGGAACUGCCUACGCAAGUAGUGAGGAAGGCGGGGAUGACGUCAAAUCAGCACGGCCCUUACGUCCAGGGCUACACACGUGCUACAAUGGCCGAUACAGAGGGCAGCUACCUGGUGACAGGAUGCAAAUCUCCAAAGUCGGUCUCAGUUCGGAUCGGAGUCUGCAACCCGACUCCGUGAAGUUGGAUUCGCUAGUAAUCGCGCAUCAGCCAUGGCGCGGUGAAUACGUUCCCGGGCCUU
rnacentral:rRNA from 1 species